CCUACGGGUGGCUGCAGUGAGGAAUAUUGGUCAAUGUCCGGAAGGCUGAACCAGCCAUGCCGCGUGAAGGUCAGUGCCCUAUGGGCGUUAAACUUCUUUUGUGCGGGAGCAAUAAUGGUCACGUGUGGCCAGACGAGAGUACCGUACGAAUAAGCAUCGGCUAACUCCGUGCCAGCAGCCGCGGUAAUACGGGGGAUGCAAGCGUUAUCCGGAUUUAUUGGGUUUAAAGGGUGCGUAGGCUGUGUGGUAAGGCAGCGGUGAAAGUCUGUGGCUCAACCAUGGAAUUGCCGUUGAAACUGGGAGGCUGGAGUAUGUUUGAGGCAGGCGGAAUGCGUGGUGUAGCGGUGAAAUGCUGAGAGAUCACGCAGAACCCCGAUUGCGAAGGCAGCCUGCCAAGCCAUGACUGACGCUGAUGCACGAAAGCGUGGGGAUCAAACAGGAUUAGAUACCCGAGUAGUC
rnacentral:rRNA from 1 species